rnacentral:rRNA from 1 species
GACAGAGGUGCCGAGCGUUAGGCGGAAUCACUGGGCUUAAAGCGUGUGUAGGCGGAUGCCUAAGUACCUUGUGAAAUCCCACGGCUUAACCGUGGAACUGCUUGGUAUACUGGGUGUCUUGAGCCACUUAGGGGCGACCGGAACAAACGGUGGAGCGGUGAAAUGCGUAGAUAUCGGGAGGAACACCAAUGGCGAAGGCAGCUCGCUGGGACGUGACUGACGCUGAGACGCGAAAGCGUGGGGAGCAAACAGG